CCUACGGGAGGCAGCAGUGAGGAAUAUUGGUCAAUGGCCGUAAGGCGGAACCAGCCAAGUCGCGUGAAGGAAGAAGGAUCUAUGGUUUGUAAACUUCUUUUAUAGGGGAAUAAAGGUAUCCACGUGUGGAUAUUUGCAUGUACCCUAUGAAUAAGCAUCGGCUAACUCAGUGCCAGCAGCCGCGGUAAUACGGAGGAUGCGAGCGUUAUCCGGAUUUAUGGGGUUUAAAGGGUGCUUAGGGUGGUUUUUAAGUCAGCGGUGAAAGUUUGUGGCUCAACCAUAAAAUUGCCGUUGAAACUGGAAGACUUGAGUGUGUUUGAGGUAGGCGGAAUGCGUGGUGUAGCGGUGACAGGCAUAGAUAUCACGCAGAACUCCGAUUGCGAAGGCAGCUUACUAAGCCAUAACUGACACUGAAGCACGAAAGCGUGGGGAUCAAACAGGAUUAGAUACCCUGGUAGUC
rnacentral:rRNA from 1 species